AACUCAAAGGAANNGACGGGGGCCCGCACAAGCGGUGGAGUAUGUGGUUUAAUUCGACGCAACGCGAAGANCCUUACCAGGUCUUGACAUUGAUGGACAGAACCAGAGAUGGUUCCUNUUNUUCGGAAGCCAGAAAACAGGUGGNGCACGGUUGUCGUCAGCUCGUGUCGUGAGAUGUUGGGUUAAGUCCCACAACGAGCGCAACCCCUAUCUUAUGUUGCCAGCACUUCGGGUGGGAACUCAUGAGAGACUGCCGCAGACAAUGCGGAGGAAGGCGGGGAUGACGUCAAAUCAUCAUGCCCCUUAUGACCUGGGCUACACACGUANUACAAUGGGAGUUAAUAGACGGAAGCGAAACCGCGAGGUGGAGCAAACCCGAGAAACACUCUCUCAGUUCGGAUCGUAGGCUGCAACUCGCCUACGUGAAGUCGGAAUCGCUAGUAAUCGCAGGUCAGCAUACUGCGGUGAAUACGUUCCCGGGCCUUGUACACACCGCCCGUCNC
rnacentral:rRNA from 1 species